rnacentral:misc_RNA from 1 species
UUUCCGUUGGUGAACCUGCGGAAGGAUCAUUCAUAAUAAGUGUUUUAUGGCACUUUUUUAAAUCCAUAUGCACCUUGUGUGCAAUGUCAGGGUUGGUCUCUUUUGAUCAGUCCCAAACAUCAACUAUUAUCUCAACUCUUUGUUUUAAAAAUAUUAUGAAUAAAACAAUUCAAAAUACAACUUUCAACAACGGAUCUCUUGGCUCUC